rnacentral:rRNA from 1 species
CCUACGGGAGGCAGCAGUGGGGGAUAUUGCACAAUGGGGGGAACCCUGAUGCAGCGACGCCGCGUGGGUGAAGAAGCGCCUCGGCGCGUAAAGCCCUGUCAGCAGGGAAGAAAAUGACGGUACCUGAAGAAGAAGCCCCGGCUAACUACGUGCCAGCAGCCGCGGUAAUACGUAGGGGGCAAGCGUUAUCCGGAUUUACUGGGGGUAAAGGGGGCGCAGACGGCGAUGCAAGCCAGGAGUGAAAGCCGGGGGCCCAACCCCGGGACUGCUCUUGGUACUGCGUGGCUGGAGUGCAGGAGGGGCAGGCGGAAUUACUGGUGUAGAGGUGAAAUGCGUAGAUAUCAGGAGGAACACCGGUGGCGAAGGCGGCCUGCUGGACUGCAACUGACGUUGAGGCCCGAAAGCGUGGGGAGCAAACAGGAUUAGAUACCCCUGUAGUC